ACCAGCAAAAUGCACUCUUCGCUGACUUUCCAGUUCCAGAGUGUGUAGAGGAGAGAGAGCGGGAUAGGGAGUGUAUGUGAAAUUACCACCCCGUUUCGAACCUUGCGGUGAGGUGACGAGGCUCGGUUGACAACUGUCCAUGUUCGGCGCCGUCUUCAUCGUGCUGUCGAGGGAGAGAAAGGAAACCCCGAGA